rnacentral:rRNA from 1 species
AUUGAACGCUGGCGGCAGGCCUAACACAUGCAAGUCGAACGGUAGCACAGAGAGCUUGUUCUCGGGUGACGAGUGGCGGACGGGUGAGUAACGUCUGGGAAACUGCCCGAUGGAGGGGGAUAACUACUGGAAACGGUAGCUAAUACCGCAUAACGUCGCAAGACCAAAGUGGGGGACCUUCGGGCCUCACACCAUCGGAUGUGCCCAGAUGGGAUUAGCUAGUAGGUGGGGUAAUGGCUCACCUAGGCGACGAUCCCUAACUGAUCUGAGAGGAUGACCAGACACACUGGAACUGUGACACGGUCCAGCCUCCUACGGGAGGCAGCAGUGGGGAAUAUUGCACGAUGGGCGAAAGCCUGAUGCAGCCAUGCCGCGUGUAUGAAGAAGGCCUUCGGGUUGUAAAGUACUUUCAGCGGGGAGGAAGGCGGUGAAGUUAAUAACUUCACCGAUUGACGUUACCCGCAGAAGAAGCACCGGCUAACUCCGUGCCAGCAGCCGCCGCCG